CAAGCUCGGGUGAUGAUUACAAAUGCGUAGUUCAGAUGACCAAACUGUGAUUACUUGAAUAAAAUGGUCAUUCACUCCUAUCUGACGACCUUU